UUCUCUUUCUUGUGCUUGCCCUGUAGUGGGAAUUAUUGGGCCAUGAUGCACCAGGAUGUGCCCUUCAUAAUAGAACACAAUUACAUUGUCAAUGUAAGAGCUUGAUAACUAAGUUAAAUAUUAGCAUUUAGCUUUAGAUCAUUUCUAGUAAGGACUUAUUUGGCAAUCUGGGAUUCGAGGCAUCUGGAAUUGGAUUCCCAAGUAAAACUCCCUUUUCAAUUCAUCAAGAGGCUAAUAUUCCAGCUUAAAAGUCAAGGUUUAUGUGCUAUUUUGUUGAUAUAAUUUAGAAAAUUUUCUGCAUCAGUAUGCAAUCAUUCUUCAAAGCAUCUUCUUUUAUCAGAUGUUAUCAGUUGUUCUUUCUCUUUAUUCAAUUUCUUUAGUGCUAUUCAAUUUUUUCUCAUGCCUCAUCUUGAAAUAAGGUUUUUCUAAUGGAGUUAUUUUGUUAUAGCCAGGGAGUUCAUCAUGUUUCAGAGGAUUUUGUUGCCAAGCAAUUGAGGUCCAUGCUUUCUGAUAUGUAGGUUGAUAUGGUUGCAGUUGAACACAACAUUGAGCAUGCAACAAGAAAAUAGAUUGAAGCAGAUGGGUGCAAUGGUGAGGAAUGUUUGUUUGUAACUAGAAAGACUGAAGAUGAAUGAGCAGAGGGAAAUGUUAGCAAAGACUACAGUGGGAAAAAUGUCUAUAGAGCAGUUAAUCUGAUCUGUAGCACAAGGCAGCUCUCAAACUUGUGCAGAAAGCAACAGGAAGCAGAACUUUGCUUAGUGUUAUUUGUGUCUGUUUUGUUAGUUUAAAUAGACGGUAACUAUUUGUUGGUAUUGUGUUUUUAUGCUUAGUGUUAUUUGUGUGUGUAGUA